AUGGCAAUGAUGAUUAUUUCUCCAAAUAAUGGAGGUUGAAAUAACUUAGCAAACUAUAUCUCUGUAUUACACAAAGAUACCAAACUAAUAUGAUCCAU